rnacentral:rRNA from 1 species
UACGUAGGGGGCGAGCGUUGUCCGGAUUUAUUGGGCGUAAAGAGCGUGUAGGCGGCCAGACAGGUCCGUUGUGAAAACUGGAGGCUUAACCUUCAGACGUCGAUGGAAACCGUCUGGCUAGAGUCCGGAAGAGGAGAGUGGAAUUCCUGGUGUAGCGGUGAAAUGCGCAGAUAUCAGGAAGAACACCCGUGGCUAAGGCGGCUCUCUAGUACGGUACUGACGCUGAGACGCGAAAGCGUGGGGAGCGAACAGG